ACAGCGGUGGUUCAGUGGGAGAACUCUCACCUUCCACGUGGGAGACCUGGAUUCGAUUCCUGGCCAGUGUA
rnacentral:tRNA from 1 species